UUAAGAAUAUCGACAUGUAAAAGUAAAUAUGCUUAUACUUAAAGUUUAAGUACAUUUUUGGUAUUUUGAAUAUGUCAUAAAUAAUUCUUUAUACCUAAUGUAAACUUAUGUUGAAACAUUUUUGAAAAAAAAUAUUUAGGCACCCUAUUCAUUUUAAUUUAUUUAUUUCUCAUUUUUAUUUAUUUAACCCUUAUGUAGAUUUUUCAAAACUGUGGAAUAUAACUUAGUUUUUUCUCUAUCGACUACCACUGUAGUACAAUUACAUCGGGAUCGAAGUCGGGCUCGAAAAGCAAUUUAUUUAAAAACAACACACCGCGCCGAAAUUCAAUUUUUUGGAGAGUUCCACGCAGUCAUGUUGAACUUGAUCAUGAUGUUGUACGGGAGGAAGGGGCGAAAGAGAGUUACUCGAAAAGGAGAAGCACGAUAAACUUUGGAUGGAAUUUAUGUUUUAACAGAAGAUGAAGACAUUUACGACCCUGUUUAGCGGUAGGAACAAUGUACAAAAUUUUAUCAUGUGUCCUUGAAUGAAUAAUUGCCUCUGCUACUGAUAAUGUUACUGUUCCUUAGUCUGGGCUGUACACAUAAAAUGCCUGGCAGUAAAAACGUUUGGGCAAGCGCUAUUUACAUUUUGUAAUAAUUAUUUAACACUUUUAACCAUCUAACUUAAAGAUGGAUUUUAACCAGAAUUUUCUCGUUUGGGAUUGGUUUCAGAAUUUUUGUCACUUAAGUGUUCCUCUGUUCAGCAUUUACAGAGAGUGUUGUACAAUGUAAUAAAUUAUUUAUUUAUUUCUUAAUGCCUACUCAAGAAUAUAUUGAGCACUUAUUUUGAUUAUUUAAAUAGUUGCAGUGUGGACUGUGCCUGAGACGAUUCCCCAUAACGCCGGCUAUGUAGACAGCUUGUGAAAAUGGAAUCCAAAUGCUCACAAGAAAUGACAAAAGCAGUAUGAAGAUUAACACAACGAAAUUGUGCAAGAAAAGUUUGAAGUAGCUAUGAGAAUGAUCAACAUUGAACUUGCUGAGGCUCUCUUCCUGAAAGUGACUUGACCAGAUAUUUGGCUACCCAUAUCUUUCUGCUACAUUAAAUAAAAUAUCGUGGAGGAACACGAAGAAAAGGGCUGCGCACCUCAACAUAUUCAAGGUCAAGCAGCUUUUUACCAUAUCCAUAGUAUCUUGCUGCUAAAUGAAAGAAUUAGUGUGGAGGAGCAGAGAAAAGGGCACCUCAACAUGUUCAAGACCUAGGAG